CAUAGCGUUUGACUAUUUCAAGCUCAUUUUUCUUUGUUUUCUCUUCGCUCUUUGUUUGUUGCUGUAUUUGUUACCAGCAUGAUGUGUUCUGCGUAUGUCUAUGCUGGUUACUCUUACUGGUCAUCAUACUGAUUAGUUCAUGCUCACCGCUGUAUAUUGAGGGGCAUUUUGCUUUCGAACCGUAUGAGAGGUGCUUAGAUAUAUGGUGGAAACAAUUAGGUUCUGUAUAAUAAGUUGGUAUUUUUAGGGAGCUAUAAAAGCAAAGUAGGUAUAUGUCGCAUUAGCUUUGCACAUGGUGGUUCUCUUUCUUAAUAAGGGGAUUAUGAACUCCACAUACCAUUAAGAAGGAAUAUUAUUUUUGAAAAAUUGGUGCAAGAGUGUCACUUUGGCACAAUUCAUUGUGCUGGUGGGAUAUUUGCUUGUGAAUGCAAUCUCCGUAGAGAUGCAUAUUUUUCUUGAUUCAAUAUGUAUUACCUUUGUUAAAUAAGCACUGCCUUUGAAGAUGAUGGAAUAAUUUGACAAAACCCAAUUGUAAAUUCAGGGAAAGAAAAGGCUUUUCCAGAUGAGUUUGAUUUCUGCAAAUAAAAGCCUUGAUGGUAGGUGUUUAUUUCACUUGAGCCAGGUGAUAGUUGAUUAUCUGGAGAUUAUUGAUUUCUAAAGGAUCAAACUUGAACUAUGGUCUGGGAUCUGAUUCUUCCUGAGGCAUUAUUUUGUCUAUUGCCCUGCUUUCUCAAGAUGCUAAGCGUAAGUUUUCCUGGAAGAAUCUUUCGGAAAUGACAUGUAAAAUGGAAUAACUGAAAGAGAGACAAAAGGAAAAAGGAGAGACGAAGAUACAAGUGAGGAAUGGUAGGAGAACUAUGUGGAAAACGUGAAUUCAUGGUGACAGACAUUGCAGAACUUUCUUGUGUGCUGCGCUUUCAAUAAUUCUUACGAGUGUUCUAGGUACCGUCAAUUAGUAUAUGAAUGUUCUAGUCGUCUCCUUCAUGUUUCCUAGUGGACUUCCCUAUCUAAAGGAACCCAUUCCCUUGCCAAACAAGUUUUCUAGGAAGUGCCUUUUGGGGAUUUGUUUCCUGUAAUUAUGUCUUUGAAUCUUUUAAACGUCACGCCUUCAGUGUUUUUAAAAUAGCUCUCUUGAUGAUUUUUAAAACUUUGUCUCUGUUCAUUUUUUUCCCAUAAUUGCUUCCCGGUGAAAUAAAGGAGCAAUUAAGUUAGAUUGUGGCUGCCACUUAUAUCCAUAUAUUAAUUCCAUAGGCCAAUGAGCCAAUUGGUCUAAUGGCACUGCCCUCCUUGUAAGAGGCAUGGGGGAGUAUCAAGGCUUGCCUCUGAGGUUCAAAUCCAGUCAAGAAUAGGUUGGGAGGGGUUUGGAAGCAUGAGUGUUUCCCCUAUUGUGUGGUUCAAUGACCACACAUUCAGAGAAAUGAGAGUUGCUUGGAUUGAUCUAGGUGGCUAUGGAUGGAUACUUUAAGCUGCACGUUGGUAUCAAAAUGAAGAAACUGGCCUGGCCAGACUCCAUUGCCAUCACUAGUUGGUACCCAUUUGAGUAAAAUGUUUAAUUGCAGGAAAGUAGCUGGCCAAAGGGAGCCGGUUGAGGCAGGGCUUGUGAGCCUUUCUAAUCACUUGUGAUUUGAUUGUAAAGAGGGGAUGUUUGGAAAUAUUACU